GGGUAUAGUUCUUCGGAAUUAGAGACCGGCGCACGGGUGCGUAACGCGUAUGCAAUCUGCCUUUCACAGAGGGAUAGCCCAGAGAAAUUUGGAUUAAUACCUCAUAGUAUACAGACUCGGCAUCGAGAUUGUAUUAAAGUCACAACGGUGAAAGAUGAGCAUGCGUCCCAUUAGCUAGUUGGUAAGGUAACGGCUUACCAAGGCAACGAUGGGUAGGGGUCCUGAGAGGGAGAUCCCCCACACUGGUACUGAGACACGGACCAGACUCCUACGGGAGGCAGCAGUGAGGAAUAUUGGUCAAUGGGCGCAAGCCUGAACCACCCAUGCCGCGUGCAGGAUGACGGUCCUAUGGAU
rnacentral:rRNA from 1 species